GGAGCCAUGGCUCAAGUGGCAGAGUAUCUGUCUGGCAAGCACAAAGCUCUGAGUUCAAAACUCCCAAUGCCACCA
rnacentral:tRNA from 1 species